rnacentral:piRNA from 1 species
AUGCUAAGAAGUGAGACAGGUCU